GAUGAACGCUGGCGGCGUGCCUAAUACAUGCAAGUCGAGCGAAUGGAUUAAGAGCUUGCUCUUAUGAAGUUAGCGGCGGACGGGUGAGUAACACGUGGGUAACCUGCCCAUAAGACCGGGAUAACUCCGGGAAACCGGGGCUAAUACCGGAUAACAUUUUGAACCGCAUGGUUCGAAAUUGAAAGGCGGCUUCUGAUGUCACUUAUGGAUGGACCCGCGUCGCAUUAGCUAGUUGGUGAGGUAACGGCUCACCAAGGUAACGAUGCGUAGCCGACCUGAGAGGGUGAUCGGCCACACUGGGACUGAGACACGGCCCAGACUCCUACGGGAGGCAGCAGUAGGGAAUCUUCCGCAAUGGACGAAAGUCUGACGGAGCAACGCCGCGUGAGUGAUGAGGGCUUUCGGGUCGUAAAACUCUGUUGUUAGGGAAGAACAAGUGCUAGUUGAAUAAGCUGACACCUUGACGGUACCUAACCAGAAAGCCACGGCUAACUACGUGCCAGCCGCCGCGGUAA
rnacentral:rRNA from 1 species